rnacentral:rRNA from 1 species
CCGCGUGAGGGAUGAAGGCCUCUGGGCUGUAAACCUCUUUUCUCAAGGAAGAAGAACUGACGGUACUUGAGGAAUAAGCCACGGCUAAUUCCGUGCCAGCAGCCGCGGUAAUACGGGAGUGGCAAGCGUUAUCCGGAAUUAUUGGGCGUAAAGCGUCCGCAGGCGGCCUCGUAAGUCUGUCGUUAAAGCGUGGAGCUUAACUCCAUUUGAGCGAUGGAAACUGUGAGGCUUGAGUGUGGUAGGGGCAGAGGGAAUUCCCGGUGUAGCGGUGAAAUGCGUAGAUAUCGGGAAGAACACCAGUGGCGAAGGCGCUCUGCUGGGCCAUAACUGACGCUCAUGGACGAAAGCCAGGGGAGCGAAAGGGAUUAGAUACCCCUGUAGUCCUGGCCGUAAACGAUGAACACUAGGUGUCGGGGGAAUCGACCCCCUCGGUGUCGUAGCCAACGCGUUAAGUGUUCCGCCUGGGGAGUACGCACGCAAGUGUGAAACUCAAAGGAAUUGACGGGGGCCCGCACAAGCGGUGGAGUAUGUGGUUUAAUUCGAUGCCACGCGAAGAACCUUACCAGGGUUUGACAUCCUGCGAAUCUCUGAGAAAUCGGAGAGUG